GAUGGCCUUUUUCUUUUCUACAGCUUAAUUGCUAUGGUGGACCAAAGAGGAGCAUUCUGUAUUCACUAAUUUGAUUGAGGAGAAUCAGCCCCUUGGUCUUAAACAAAUGAGAGCUUGAUGCAGGAAGAACUUCGAAAUAUUUGGUAGAGCCACAUGUGACUGAUCAAAAUAUUCUCCCUAAGCACACAAAACAGGAGUGUUAAGAUUUGCCAGAGAUGGGACUCACAGAAUGUGGCUGUAACAGAACUUCUGGGAGAUGCUUCCAGUGGAAGGUUUUUUGUUCACGAAGCACAAUCACUUUGGAGACCUUAAUCCAAAUUUCUACAAUAAAUGAACAUAGCUAAGAUUCAGUKUUUUAUAACCAGUUCCUCAGUGCAAGUGUGUAGUGCAACUUCAAGUGGAGCCCAGUUUACAUAUCUGCUUAACUG